UACGGAGGAUGCGAGCGUUAUCCGGAUUUAUUGGGUUUAAAGGGUGCGCAGGCGGCGUUUCAAGCCGGCGGUCAAACUUCGGGGCUCAACCCCGUAUCGCCGUCGGGACUGUUGCGCUGGAGUGCGUGCGAGGAUGGCGGAAUGCGUGGUGUAGCGGUGAAAUGCAUAGAUAUCACGCAGAACCCCGAUUGCGAAGGCAGCCGUCCAGCACGCCAAUGACGCUCAUGCACGAAAGCGUGGGUAUCGAACA
rnacentral:rRNA from 1 species